AGGAUGUUUUAUUAAUCAAGAACGAAAGUUAGGGGAUGAAGACGAUCAGAUACCGUCGUAGUCUUAACCAUAAACGAUGCCGACCAGCGAUUAGGAGACGUUGAAUACAAAACACCACCAUCGGUGCGGUCGUCCUUGGCGUCUCGGUCCUUCACGGGGCCGGGGCGCGGGGGUGGCUUAGCCCGGUGGCACCGGUGAAUGACUCCCCUAGCAGCUUGUGAGAAAUCAUAAGUCUUUGGGUUCCGGGGGGAGUAUGGUCGCAAGGCUUGAAACUUAAAGGAAUUGACGGAAGGGCACCACCAGGAGUGGAGCCUGCGGCUUAAUUUGACUCAACACGGGGAAACUUACCAGGUCCGGACAUAGUAAGGAUUGACAGAUUGAUAGCUCUUUCUUGAUUCUAUGGGUGGUGGUGCAUGGCCGUUCUUA
rnacentral:rRNA from 1 species